rnacentral:lncRNA from 1 species
UGGGUUUUUCGGUUUAAUUCUGAAUUUCGUUUGGUUUAUUUGGGUCUAAGAAAACUUUAACCAAAGUCAAUCCAAAUUAGUUUGGUUUGGUUUUUGUUCGGUUUGGUGUGUAUAGGGUUUAGUUUGGUUUUUUUGUGUUUGUUUAGUUCAUCUGUGUUGAUUUUUUUAAUUUUUUUCUAGUUCAGUUACAAAAAUAUAAUUAAGAAAAAUAUAAAUAUCAUUUGACACCAGAUCAUUUUUUUUCAUAUUUAAACGUAAAGCCAAACAUCUGUAAUAUAAUAGUUUUAUGUUGUUAUAUUUAAACCUAAUAUACAUAGCAUAGGUAAUUUUUCGGUUGUGAUAUUAAUGUAUGAGAUUCAUAUUCUUUUAUUUUAUUUUUAGUUGUGUGUUUUCUAUUCAUUUAUAAGUAGAAUGUAUAAAUUAUAUUUAUUUGUUUAGGUUAAAUGGUUAUAUAUAAAAUCUUAAUACAAAUAGUGUAUUUAAUUAAUCUAACUAAAAAGCACUUCGUU